rnacentral:rRNA from 1 species
UACAGAGGGGGCAAGCGUUGUUCGGAAUUACUGGGCGUAAAGCGUGCGUAGGCGGCUGCGCAAGUCGGGUGUGAAACCCCGGGGCUCAACCCCGGAACUGCAUCCGAUACUGCGUGGCUAGAGGUAGGUAGGGGAGAUCGGAAUUCCUGGUGUAGCGGUGAAAUGCGCAGAUAUCAGGAGGAACACCGGUGGCGAAGGCGGCUUGCUGGGCCAGUUCUGACGCUGAGGAGCGAAAGCGUGGGGAGCGAACAGG